GUGAGCAGCGAAUCCGUCCUGAGUUUCCAAGCGAAAGUUGCAUGGAGACACACAGCGUAAGACGCGUGUAAUGAAGAGAAUGGUGAGAGAGGGAGAGAUAAAAGAGAAGGAAAGCACGAACAAACUCAUACCAAGCGAGAUCACAACAGAUCUCCACCGACUAGUCUGUUUUAGGAAAAAGAAAUAAGGGCAUCGGGGCGAUAUUGUAAAAAAAAAAAAAAAAAAAAAAAAAAAAAAAAAAACACUGCAUCGAUGCAACAGAAGCGACUCGGAGCCCUUGCACGGAGUUGGAGAGGCUGAAAUUAAUGUACAUUGCAUGCACUCCACGUAACGCUCCGGAGCGAUGCCUUUGUGAGUGUUUUUUUUUCGUACUGCGAGCUAAAAAUAGCAGCAGUGUUUGAUCGCGCUCCAGAAAUAGGCAGAGGGGUAACACAAGUAUAAAAAGGACUGCAAUUCUGAGAAACCUUGGACAUUGCUGAGCAAGGGCUCAUUGCAUAGGUAAGUACAUGGGCAAAGCGUUGUACUUCUUGUGUUUGGUUAUUUGCAACUGGGUUUGAUGCAUGCAUGGUGUUGGGUUAUACAGAAGCCAUUCCCGCCACAGAACAGAAACGACGCAGGGGUAAACAACAUUUUAACCACUGGCAUGGACUUCAUCCAAGCUUUGAUUGUAACUUCAUGUGUGUUUUUUUUUUCUCUCAGCUUCAUGGAAAUUAAAACGCCAUCUCUCUCGAGCAGGAAUCUCACAAAUCGUAAAUAUGACAAGCAAAAAAAAAAAAAAAAAAGCAAGACCAAACUCAUUUGUCUGACGGCGCUGUUGAGCCAUUUUACGCUUUCUGUCUUCGUUACAACUGAAAUUUCGCGAAUGGAAAUCCCUACCAUCAGAGGAACACCGGGUGAUGUUGGUUUACUAAACGAAGAGGACACUAGAUGAAAGCAUGCAUGGGAAAGAAGGAGUGCCACGAGGCGCUGAAGGAGAGCCGACACGGGGGGAACCCACAGGCUGCGCAGUUGGGCUGAAAAUACAAUGUGGCGUCAAGGGGAGCCUGUGCUCCUGCUCGACCUGCACCAAAAUUACCCUCAACUAGGCAUUUCUUUUUGAAUCCCACCCGCAGAUGGACGCAUCAGCGCGAAUACUCUGCUUUCCAGAGUCGUUCGAAAUGCAUCCUUAAGUUUCGUAUUCUAACUCCGCAUGACAGUUUUCCCGCCUGCUUUGUUCGUACAAUUCAGUUUGCAGUUAGAAGCUAAAGAUAAUAAUAUGGUAAUAGGCGGGCUGACUUGGAUUACUCUUCCGCCCACGUCAUUUUCAUUAUACAGCGCUGCAACACACUGUGGGUUUUUUUGUUUUGUUUUUUUCUUUUCGUUGCUAUGAACUGAAAUACUGCUCCGGUGCUGGCACACAUGCAUUCACUGUUUAUUUAUCAGUUCUAUUUACCUACAGAGUAUCACCAGCAAUCACAAAACUGCGUCUGUCAGUAGCCUACUCUUGACAGAUUUGUAACUUCAAGUGCAGCACACAGACUUCGCUGAAAUUUGGCAUAAAUCUGUCCAAGUCCGUGCUUUAGAGUGAGAAUACCUGCGCGUAAGAAACAACAGUUGGUAGACUCCGCUAUCGCGAUAUAUCGCGCCAAAGAGCAGUUACACUGUAACAAUGUAGCUCGUACGAGUCGACUUAGAUAGCAGAUUUCAGUUUUAUACGAGACGUGCAGUGCUUUCUACCCGAGUAUUCGUUAUCCUAGUUAUAUUUGUUGUAUACCUACCAAGAUACAUCAUCCAAAUGAAAUAAACACUGAAACUGGUCCAUUACUUCUAUCAGGAAUGUAAACCUGUAUUUAAUGAGCUGCACGACAUGGGAAACGAGAAGAAAAAAAAACGAUGUUGGUAACCUUGACCUCAAAGACCAUGUGGCUUUCUUUGUUAAACGCACCUAGUCGAGACAUGCCAAAAUCUUCUUAAAUAAUGCAAUACUGAUGGUGUAAUUUUGGUGGCAAAACAGAUUUCUCCGAGUCGUGACUGCUAUAGUGAGUAAUAUGGGCGCGUUGGCUGCGUCAGGAGAUGCAGUCGCUGUGCGCUGCAGACGGAAGGGGGAGAAUCGUGACUGACUGCUGGAGACGUCCGCAGACGAAACAACCACCCAACAAAAACAUCUUAAUGGCAUCUGUGCAAGAUAUUUACACAUGCUAUCUCUCUAGCCCGUUACUCUUUGUGUUGAGCCACCUCAACCUCCCCUUGCACCACCGAAGACAUGAGAAGAAUAUCUGUGAUUAAGGGACGGGAGGGAGGAUCUGAGUUUGGGAUGAGUUCCGACUGCUGUGUGUGUGUGUGUGUGUGUGUGUGUGUGUGAGAGAGAGAGAGAGAGAGAGAGAGAGAGAGAGAGAGUGUUUGUGUGUGUGUGUGUGUGUGUGAGAGAGAGAGAGAGAGAGAGAGAGUGUGUGUGUGUGUGUGUGUGUGUGUGUGUGUGUGUGUACCGGCCGGGGAGGGGGGUCCAGAUAUAGAUCGUGACCCUCCCACCUAGUACAGUUUCUUGUAUAUAGUUCCAAAAAGGGAUUGCCAGAGACUUUGUGGUGCAUUUUUGACAAAUGAUUGCUAUGUGGAUAUAGGAACAGGAAUUCUCUGGGUUUUACAAAAACAUUUGGAAGGAGUCUAGUCACUACAGACAUCUCAGAGUCUUCUUCAUGCUGCCCCAUGCACAUUAUUCACCUCCAUGGUGAAACCUGGAAGUCUGAAGAUCCACAGAUGUCAUCUGAGGCACCACCUACAAUUUUCUGCUUCUAUUAUCAGUAAAUGGACAUUUCCGUGUGCCAAGCAUCCUGUCGCAGUACCAUAUCGCGUUUCUACAGAGAGCACAGAGAGCAAGACAGAGGAAGGGACGAUGGUGGGCAUGUGCUGAGAUUCAGAAUGAAGUGGAUGAAUCAGUCAACACAGCUAGGAAACCAUUAAAGAAAAUCCACAAGAAGUUGGAUCUGCCUUGCGCAAUCUCUUUAUCUCAGCUCCAUAUGUCAAGAGGCCAUCUCUGCAGCUUAAUCACGGAACAAGAUGACAGAGUCUUAACAGAUAUUUAUACUUCUGUUUCUAAAAGCUCUGAUAUGCAUGGAUAUCUCUAUUACUCUAUUGUAAUUGGUGGACAUUGUAGUCUUUAUCAUUUUAUGGAAUCAUGUUUAGUGUCAUGUCAGUUUAGAGAGACUAGGAGAGAGGGCCUACCAGGUUGUAAUCUAGAGCAUAUAACAAAAAUGAAAGAUUAAAUAAAUACAUGCAGAGUUGCUUAAAGCUAUUUUUAGAGUUUUAUUUCUUAUUUCUCAGACAUCUACACCUGUUGAAAGGUGACAGUUUCACACACACUGUAAGCCCAUUAUUUGAAUCUGACACCAAGUUCUGUUGUACUACAAACUGUUGAAGGGGCUCUGCUAAAACUGAGUGUAUUAAUAGAAAAGUGUGGCUUUAGGGUGAUCUGACUGUGUAAUUAUAUGGUAGAUGUAGGACAACAUGACCAUCCUGAGCAGCCAUUUCAAUAAAAGGAGAAUGCCAAAUGUGACUUUUGUUGCAUGUGAGAGAUAUUUAGUAUGUCAAGGCAUAUGCUUGAGCAUGAAGGUGUGCACCCAUAAAUAGUGUGUACAAGUAUAUGCAGAAGUGUGCCUGUAAAAGAGAGUGUAUGUAUUUGUGCAUGUGCCUGUGUCUGAGUCCGUCUGUUAGCCUUAGUCAUAGAACGUAAGUCCCUGUGUAUUAGUGAAAGAUCAUACAGUAAGGUUAUCACAUGAGUGUGCCAAUAAUUACGUGUGUGUGUGUGUGUGUGUGUGUUUCUUGGUGUCUGUGUUGGCUGUCACAUUUCUUACAAAUUUUGGAGUUGAAUGUGUUCAGGAUGUGUGGGAUUUAAAACCUUACAGAAAGUAUUGUAAAUGAAUGACACCAUUAUAACUGUAUUUUACUUAAUAUUUUAUUUGUAUUGGAAAAAGGCUGGCUCUCAUCAGUUAGAAAUAAGUGCAUUUGCCAUGCUGUCUUUCAGCUCGUCCAGAGCAGAUUUGUGAUUUUUAGACGUUUUCAGCAGCUUGACAUUUGCAGUGUUUAUAAACAAAACUGCCACUUGCAUGAAGUAGUGAUCACUGCAUUCCCAUUACAUGGGUUAGAAGAAAUGUAAAUAUGUAUAACCAUGUGACUGUACCAUUAAGUUGACCCUUAUAAGCAAUCAGUGUUUAUAUUUAGCUAUACUGAGUUGCUAAAAACAAUCUCUUGUUCAGAAAUGAACUGUAAGGAUGUCCGAAAUAAUGUUCAAAAUAAUGUAUUGUGAUUAUUUAUUAUAUAAAAGCCAGGUUUCGUGUUUAUUUUUUGCAUUAAUGAUUUAGAUGAUUAUACAUAAGCAUGAAUGUUAUAUGUCUGUCAAGUAUUAUAUAUAAGUAUAUAUACAAGUAUGUGCUGUGUGUGUGUGUGUGUGUGUGUGUGUGUGUGCGCGUGCACGUGUGUGUGUGUGUGUGUGCACGUGUGUGUAUGCCUGAAUGUGUGUGAAGUUUGAUGUAUUCGCGAUUUGCAAGCAGAAUUCUCAGUUGAGUGUGUAU
ensembl:lncRNA